UACGUAGGGUGCGAGCGUUAAUCGGAAUUACUGGGCGUAAAGCGUGCGCAGGCGGUGAUGUAAGACAGGUGUGAAAUCCCCGGGCUUAACCUGGGAACUGCAUUUGUGACUGCAUCGCUGGAGUGCGGCAGAGGGGGAUGGAAUUCCGCGUGUAGCAGUGAAAUGCGUAGAUAUGCGGAGGAACACCGAUGGCGAAGGCAAUCCCCUGGGCCAACACUGACACUCAGGCACGAAAGCGUGGGGAGCAAACAGG
rnacentral:rRNA from 1 species